UCGCGCAGCCCCUUUCUCUUCCUCUCGCCCCCUGCCUACUCUCUCAAUCCCCACUGUCGCCGCCUCGGUCGCCGGCCGAUUCCGGCCGCUCCGGUGAGCUUUGGCGUCGCCCAACACACACAUGGCUGCUCCUGGACGAGCUCUACCAGCUUCAUGGCGUCGAUCUACUUUUCCUCGCCUCAUGCGGCCGCCCCCAUCGAUUUCCCCCGCUAGGGUUUCAAUGGUGGGGCUGGACCUCGCCUCCGGCGGCCGGCUGCUCGUUGCCCCGAUCUCUCGAUCCCCAUUGAUGCGUCCCUACUGAAGAGAAGAUGCAGAGGGAGGAUAGGAGGAGGUAGGCGCCCUGGGGCGGGGUGGUCUCGCCGGCCAGAGUUGGAUCGAGAUCCCGGCUGGCACGCCUCGCCUCCACCUCCCUCUCCCACCUCUCUGCUCCCAGAUGUACGAGGAAAAAUUGCAGCUCUAAAUCUGUUCUUUCUCCCCUCACUCUAAUUGCUCCGUGGCCACCACCAGCAGCCCGAGGAAGUUUCUCUGAAAGGAGGAGCUUGUUGGGACAAUCAAGUGAGAAAGUAUGCACUCGCCUAGGGCUUGAAGGUCAUUGCAAGUGUUGGUGAGACUCUCGAGCAGCAAGAAUCUAGAUCAACCAUGGAAGUUGUCGCUGUACAGACAUAAGCAAUUGCUGACAAGAUCAAGGACUGGACCAACGUUGUCGUCAUGCAUGAACCAGUGUGGGCCAUUGGCACCGGUAAAGUUGCAUUACCGGCUUAGGAAGUAAGUUCCUCCGUUCAGGUGUAUUGGUGUUUCCGAACUAGCAGGCACAAUUCAUCUUGUGACCGCUGGGCUGUCUUCUUUCCUUUUCCUGAAAUUUGUGACCAAGUGGUUAAAGCCUGAAAUUGAAGCUUGAUCUUUCUCAAAAUUUACCAUGGUGUAUUUUCAUGCUACAGUCAAGCCUUGGAUAGAAAAUAAACAUGUUAUCAAGAUAAUAUAUCAGUUUUAGAAAUACAUAUUGAUAUACUAGUGUUUCUUUUUACAGAAUUUUGUUUUGCUGUUUUUCUAUCUAUAUCACUCAUUUUGUUGACAUGUUUAUUCAAAUGUGCCUAAUGUUUCUUUGUUUUUCCUGGUUUCUCAAAACUAACAAAUGCUGUUCUCUGACAAAUUAGGAGGCUGAAGGUGGUAGCUUUCUGAACUCUCAUUUUGGAAAAAAUCUGUAGAUAUGGAGUGCUCAUAAAGGAAUUACGAAUAUGAUGUUUGCUUCCAUUCCCAACUUAUGAAAUGCAUCUUGUGAUACUCACGUGCUCGUGCAGCUGCUGCCUGGAUUUGCCGCCCCCUCCUCUCCCUCUCACUCAUGCCCCAUCCCCUGUUCUCCCGCGACGGCAUGGAUGUGCGGUGUAAGAGGCGGUUCCUCACCGGUUGGACGGCGUUCAGGCGCAACCCCGACGCCCACUGAGUUGAUUCCCUCUGGUCGUAUAGCUACGCUCCUGGAUUUGCUAAAUUGAUCUGUGGUACUUGUGCUAGGGCGAUGAUGAUUAACCUUGGCUGAAAUAUGUGUGCCUUUGAGCAAUCGAGGCAUCUGUGGGUAUCAAGUUGGAUCCUCCCUUGUGUCUCUACAAUCGUUUUUGAUCCUGUGAUACUUGUUGUUCUGCCCUUGGAUGGUCAUUCUUGUUGAGUGAUAACCAGGGCAGCUCCACUGUAUAAACAGAUUGAUCUCGUGAUAAGAGAUGAUGGGGGUAGGUUAUAUGAUCGAGGAAAGACGAAUCUGAGCCCACUAUGCAAUGAACCUUCAACCCUUUUUAUUUGUAUUUAAAGGUGUUGCUUAUUUAUGCUUAAGUUUUUAUAGCUGUCUUA